AACGCACAUUGCGCCCGCCAGUACUCUGGCGGGCAUGCCUGUCUGAGCGUCAUUUCAACCCUCGCGCCCGGCUUCUGUCGGGGGCGGUGUUGGGGAUCGGCCUCCCGUCUUUUCGGGCGGCCGGCCCCUAAAUGGAGUGGCGACCGCGCCGUAGCCUCCUCUGCGUAGUAGUUAAACACUCGCAGGCGGAGAACAGUGUGGCCUGCCGUAAAACCCCCCACUUUCUAAGGUUGACCUCAGAUCAGGUAGGAAUACCCGCUGAACUUAA
rnacentral:misc_RNA from 1 species